rnacentral:rRNA from 1 species
UACGUAGGGGGCAAGCGUUGUCCGGAAUCAUUGGGCGUAAAGCGCGUGUAGGCGGCUUGGUAAGUCCGGCGUGAAACCUUGGGGCUCAACCCCAAGCCUGCGCUGGAUACUGCCUCGCUCGAGUCCGGGAGAGGGAAGCGGAAUUCCCAGUGUAGCGGUGAAAUGCGCAGAUAUUGGGAAGAACACCGGUGGCGAAGGCGGCUUCCUGGAACGGUACUGACGCUGAGACGCGAAAGCGUGGGGAGCGAACAGG